rnacentral:rRNA from 1 species
CCUACGGGUGGCUGCAGUGAGGAAUAUUGGUCAAUGGUCGGGAGACUGAACCAGCCAAGCCGCGUGAGGGAUGAAGGUACAGCGUAUCGUAAACCUCUUUUGUCAGGGAACAAAGGCGGGGACGUGUCCCCGGAUGAGUGUACCUGAAGAAAAAGCAUCGGCUAACUCCGUGCCAGCAGCCGCGGUAAUACGGAGGGAUCGAGCGUUAUCCGGAUUUAUUGGGUUUAAAGGGUGCGCAGGCGGGCUGGUAAGUCAGCGGUCAAAGCCCCGGGCCCAACCCCCGCCCCGCCUUUGACACUGGCAGUCUCGAGUAGGAGAGAAGUAUGCGGAAUGCGCGGUGUAGCGGUGAAAUGCAUAGAUAUCGCGCAGAACUCCGAUUGCGAAGGCGGCAUGCCGGCUCCACACUGACGCUGAGGCACGAAAGCGUGGGUAUCGAACAGGAUUAGAUACCCCAGUAGUC